GAUUAACGCUGGCGGCGUGCAUAACACAUGCAAGUCGAACGAUGAAACUCAUUAGAUUUCUUCGGAAUGAAAAUGAAUGGAUUAGUGGCGAACGGGUGAGUAACGCGUGAGUAACCUGCCUUACACAAGGAGAUAGCCUCUGGAAACGGAGAAUAAUACCCUAUGAAACCAGACAAUCGCAUGAUAAUCUGGUCAAAAUGUUUAGUGGUGUAAGAUGGACUUGCGUCUGAUUAGCUAGUUGGUGAGAUAAAAGCUCACCAAGGCAACGAUCAGUAGCCGGCUUGAGAGAGUGUACGGCCACAUUGGGACUGAGACACGGCCCAGACUCCUACGGGAGGCAGCAGUGGGGAAUUUUGCACAAUGGGGGAAACCCUGAUGCAGCGACGCCGCGUGAUUUAGAAGGCCUUCGGGUUGUAAAAAUCUUUUGUAUAGGAAGAAAAUGACAGUACUAUACGAAUAAGGUCCGGCUAAUUACGUG
rnacentral:rRNA from 1 species